GCCUCCUUAGCUCAGAUGGUUAGAGCGCGUCCAUGGUAAGGACGAGGUCUUCGGUUCAAUUCCGAAAGGAGGCU
rnacentral:tRNA from 1 species